GGUUGCCUGCGGUGCAGGUGAUGGAUGGACAGUCGUCUUGGGCCAACACUCUCUGACAAGUGAGCCGCGACGCCGCGUGGUGUGCAAGCCUCUGUGAGAGGAAGCCUAAAACGCGGUUGUAGACAGCGGCUCCACCUGCGAUCGCAGGUUCAAACGACGUCCCCACACGGCAUCGCGGGUACCAC
rnacentral:other from 1 species